rnacentral:rRNA from 1 species
GAUGAACGCUGGCGGCGUGCCUAAUACAUGCAAGUCGAGCGAACAGAUGAGGAGCUUGCUCCUCUGACGUUAGCGGCGGACGGGUGAGUAACACGUGGAUAACCUACCUAUAAGACUGGGAUAACUUCGGGAAACCGGAGCUAAUACCGGAUAAUAUAUUGAACCGCAUGGUUCAAUAGUGAAAGACGGUUUUGCUGUCACUUAUAGAUGGAUCCGCGCCGCAUUAGCUAGUUGGUAAGGUAACGGCUUACCAAGGCAACGAUGCGUAGCCGACCUGAGAGGGUGAUAGGCCACCCUGGAACUGAGACACGGUCCAGACUACUACGGGAGGCAGCAGUAGGGAAUCUUACGCAAUGGGCGAAAGCCUGACGGAGCAACGCCGCGUGAGUGAUGAAGGUCUUCGGAUCGUAAAACUCUGUUAUUAGGGAAGAACAAAUGUGUAAGUAACUAUGCACGUAUUGACGGUAACUAAUCAGAAAGCAACGGCUAACUACGUG